rnacentral:lncRNA from 10 species
AAGUCAUUGAAGCCAAGAUAUCACAAUCAAGAAGAUCUUUCCAUUUCAAUUUGCUGAAGGCUGAUGCUCAUAUUUUAAUUUUAUCUUCAGUAUUAUUUCAAAAAUAAGUCAUUUUUAACUGAACAAUAAGUAAGGUAAAGUAAGGUAAUGAGUUCUCUUAGUAAACUGACAGAAGACAGAAGCAAAAUAGAAACUCAGAAAAAGAGUAACCAACAAAGAACUUGAGACACAGUGAGAAACUGGCUAUCUGCAAGCCAGGAAGAGAGCCCUCACCAGAACCCAGCCAAUUCUGGCACCCUGAUCUUGGAUGUACAGCCUUUAGAAUGCCAAAGACAAGUCUAAGUUUAAAUUCUAAUUUUGCACAUAUGUUCAACAUCUGCCGUCUCCCAAACUCAGCUCUGACCCACAAGUCGGGAGAUGAAAGUUCCUGUUGACUUUUCCCGUAUGAAAGAUGCGCACAAGUAGAAAGGGGGAGGCUGAUUCUCACCUUAUUGCCCACGUUGGAGUGCAGUGGCGCCCCCUCAGCUUACUGGAACGUCUGCCUCCAAGGUUCAAACCAUUCUCAUGCCUCAGCCUUCCUAGUAGCUGGGAUUACAGGUGUGUGCCAACACCCGGCUAAUUUUGGGAUUUUUGGUAGAGACGGGUUUUCGCCAUGUUUGCCCAGUUCGUCUGGAUCAAGUGAUCUGCCCACCUCCGCUUCCGAAAGUGUUGAGAUUACAGGCAGGAGCCACUGCACCUCGCCUUUAUUUUUCUCUUUCUUACUUCCACUUUCUUUUAUGGUUUGUUUUCGUGUUAUCUUCUUGUUAUUUUUCUUUCUUUUAUGGUUUGCACAGCCUAAAUUUUAGUCUGAUUUAUAUCUUAAGAGUUUUACUUAUUAAAUUAAUCCCUUAAUUCAAUUGUUACAUAGUUUUUACUGAAUUGCAUUUGUUUUAUAUUUGUAUAAUUUUAUAUUUAGUUUUAAAUGCACAGACGGUAAAAUGUUCAGAAUUCAAGCAUAUAAUUCAAUAAAUUAUUAAAAGCAUGCAUCUCACAUGUUGGCUUAAAAUAUUCCCAUCUCUCCAGAAAUUUUCCCCAAGUUCCUUUCUAGUUAAUAUUAUAUCUAAGACUAAUUUAUUUUCUCUAAGUUUAGAAAUUUUUGCCCUGACUCUUCAAUAUUUGCCAAUGUAAAAAUCCUCAAUAAUAUUUUCCUUGUUUUUAAGUUACUGUUAGCUUUUACAUUUAAAUUUGUAUGGAGCAGCAAUUUAAGGUUGGUUUUGUUUUCCAUAUAUAUACAUGGAA